AUUAGUGGCGAACGGGUGAGUAACACGUGAGUAACCUACCCUUGACUCUGGGAUAAGCCCGGGAAACUGGGUCUAAUACCGGAUAUGAGUCAUCACCGCAUGGUGGUGGUUUGAAAGAUUUAUCGGUCUUGGAUGGACUCGCGGCCUAUCAGCUUGUUGGUGAGGUAAUGGCUCACCAAGGCGACGACGGGUAGCCGGCCUGAGAGGGUGACCGGCCACACUGGGACUGAGACACGGCCCAGACUCCUACGGGAGGCAGCAGUGGGGAAUAUUGCACAAUGGGCGGAAGCCUGAUGCAGCGACGCCGCGUGAGGGAUGACGGCCUUCGGGUUGUAAACCUCUUUCAGUAGGGAAGAAGCGAAAGUGACGGUACCUGCAGAAGAAGCACCGGCUAACUACGUGCCAGCAGCCGCGGUAAUACGUAGGGUGCGAGCGUUAUCCGGAAUUAUUGGGCGUAAAGAGCUCGUAGGCGGUUUGUCGCGUCUGUCGUGAAAGUCCGGGGCUUAACCCCGGAUCUGCGGUGGGUACGGGCAGACUAGAGUGCAGUAGGGGAGACUGGAAUUCCUGGUGUAGCGGUGGAAUGCGCAGAUAUCAGGAGGAACACCGAUGGCGAAGGCAGGUCUCUGGGCUGUAACUGACGCUGAGGAGCGAAAGCAUGGGGAGCGAACAGGAUUAGAUACCCUGGUAGUCCAUGCCGUAAACGUUGGGCACUAGGUGUGGGGAACAUUCCACGUUUUCCGCGCCGUAGCUAACGCAUUAAGUGCCCCGCCUGGG
rnacentral:rRNA from 1 species